rnacentral:rRNA from 1 species
UACGUAGGGUGCAAGCGUUGUCCGGAAUUAUUGGGCGUAAAGAGCUCGUAGGCGGUCUGUCGCGUCGGAUGUGAAAACCCAGGGCUCAACCCUGGGCCUGCAUUCGAUACGGGCAGACUAGAGUUCGGUAGGGGAGACUGGAAUUCCUGGUGUAGCGGUGAAAUGCGCAGAUAUCAGGAGGAACACCGGUGGCGAAGGCGGCAUCCUGGACCGAGAUUGACGCUGAGGCGCGAAAGCCAGGGGAGCAAACAGG